rnacentral:rRNA from 1 species
UACGAAGGGGGCUAGCGUUGCUCGGAAUUACUGGGCGUAAAGGGUGCGUAGGCGGAUAGUUUAGUCAGAGGUGAAAGCCCAGGGCUCAACCUUGGAAUUGCCUUUGAUACUGGCUACCUUGAGUACGGAAGAGGUAUGUGGAACUCCGAGUGUAGAGGUGAAAUUCGUAGAUAUUCGGAAGAACACCAGUGGCGAAGGCGACAUACUGGUCCGUUACUGACGCUGAGGUGCGAAAGCGUGGGGAGCAAACAGG